GGGCGCGUAGCUCAAUGGUAGAGCAGUGGCCUUUUAAGCCAUUGGUUAAGGGUUCGAGCCCCUUCGCGCUCAC
rnacentral:tRNA from 2 species